rnacentral:rRNA from 1 species
AGCGAACGCUGGCGGCAGGCUUAACACAUGCAAGUCGAGCGGGCACUUCGGUGUCAGCGGCAGACGGGUGAGUAACACGUGGGAACGUACCCUUUGGUUCGGAAUAACGCUGGGAAACUAGCGCUAAUACCGGAUACGCCCUUUUGGGGAAAGGCUUGCUGCCGAAGGAUCGGCCCGCGUCUGAUUAGCUAGUUGGUGGGGUAAUGGCCUACCAAGGCGACGAUCAGUAGCUGGUCUGAGAGGAUGAUCAGCCACACUGGGACUGAGACACGGCCCAGACUCCUACGGGAGGCAGCAGUGGGGAAUAUUGGACAAUGGGCGCAAGCCUGAUCCAGCCAUGCCGCGUGAGUGAUGAAGGCCUUAGGGUUGUAAAGCUCCUUUGUCCGGGACGAUAAUGACGGUACCGGAAGAAUAAGCCCCGGCUAACUUCGUG